rnacentral:lncRNA from 1 species
AUUGGUUGGAAACUGGAUUCUUUCUCUGGAACACAACCUGAUGGCCAUGGGAAACGGUAACUUGAAUGUCUGUGUGGCACAUGCCAGCAAGGAAUUUGGAGUAGUUGCUGACUGCCUUCUGAGAGGGGAGCCUGUGCUGGAUGGGUGGCUAGAGAAAAAGAGGUGGUCUGACAAAUAGGCAAGCACAGGCUUCUCAAGAGAUUUCAGAAGGUUUAUUCAAAAUUAAAUUUUUUUCAUGAAUAUGACUUCAUGUGUGCAUGGAAUUGUAACACAGAAAACAGAAAAUUACCUUUCCUGAGUCAAGCACUGUGACUGUAAUAUGAAAAGAAAGAUGAUGCAACAUUAAUUGCUUCUGCGAAGUUUCUGCCAUGCAACCCUGAGAUAUGAGAGACAAAGAAAACCACAUCACACAAGAACUCCAUCACUGGAAAUCAUCAUCAGUGAAGAUGAGAAUAGGGAGAACAAAUAAAGGAAAGAUACCCAGAACAGUUUUCAGCAUUCUCCGUUUCCAAACAGAGAAAAUAUCAGCCUAUAUGCCAAUAUGAUAAGCAACUAGAGAACAGCAUCCUUCAAGGAAUAGAAUCUGCAGGGGUACAUAACAAAUGCAGAAAUUCUGAAAGAAAAGCUGUUGAGUGUCAUGUGGUCCUGGCAGUCAGAUGGGGAGCAGAACUCAGUAGUGCUCUGUAGCAGGAGUAGUGGACACCCCACACUUGGUAACUGAGAACAAAUGCUGUGUGGGACCAAAAUAAAAAUCUCGCCUAGAACUGCUGAACA